rnacentral:rRNA from 1 species
CUCAGGGAGGUAGUGACAAGAAAUAACAACACUGGAAAUUUUAUUUCUAGUGAUUGGAAUGAUGGGAAUUUAAACCCCUUUCAGAGUAACAAUUGGAGGGCAAGUCUGGUGCCAGCAGCCGCGGUAAUUCCAGCUCCAAUAGCGUAUAUUAAAGUUGUUACAGUUAAAAAGCUCGUAGUUGGAUGUCUGCUGGAAGCAAUCAGUCCGCCCUAUUUGUAGGGUGUGCACUUGAUGAAUUCUGGCAUCUAUGUCCUAAUGUGAUAGAUACGGCGGUGUAUAUGGGUUAAUCCUAUAUACCCGUUUUUGUAUAUUAUAUUGGGAUAAUACCGUUACUUUGAGAAAAUUAGAGUGUUUGAAGCAGGCUAAUUGCCUUGAACACUGCAGCAUGGAAUAACAAUAUAGGAUUUCGGUUCUAUUUUGUUGGUUUCUAGGACUGAAAUAAUGAUUAAUAGGGACAGUUGGGGGCAUUCGUAUUUAACUGUCAGAGGUGAAAUUCUUAGAUUUGUUAAAGACGAACUACUGCGAAAGCAUUUGCCAAGGAUGUUUUCAUUAAUCAAGAACGAAAGUUAGGGGCUCGAAGACGAUCAGAUACCGUCGUAGUCUUAACCAUAAACUAUGCCGACUAGAGAUAGGAAAAUGUCAUUUUUCUGACUU